rnacentral:rRNA from 1 species
UACGAAGGGGGCUAGCGUUGUUCGGAUUCAUUGGGCGUAAAGGGUGCGUAGGUGGCGCCGUAAGUCAGGUGUGAAAUUUCGGAGCUUAACUCCGAAACUGCAUUUGAUACUGCGGUGCUUGAGGACUGGAGAGGAGACUGGAAUUCACGGUGUAGCAGUGAAAUGCGUAGAUAUCGUGAGGAAGACCAGUGGCGAAGGCGGGUCUCUGGACAGUUCCUGACACUGAGGCACGAAGGCCAGGGGAGCAGACGGG